rnacentral:lncRNA from 1 species
CUUCUCCUUUGCUUUAUGCACAGUGAGGAAGGAUGGAAACUGCCUGUGGGACUGUAUAGGAGACCCUCGUUUAACGUUGAUUAAAAAAUCUCCUAUGUCAUCUUAACUCUGCUUAUUAAGACCUGAAGAAUAUCAGCUCUCUCCUACCAGGAUUCUUACAAAAUGGGAAUUUGUUAUUCCUGCUUAAAGGUACGUGCUCAGAGUGGAUGUGUUCAGUAAUGCUGGCAGUGAAUGGGCCAGAAAUAAGGCAGGGGAUUUGGGGGUAAACCCGUGGAAUUAAUUUUACUUCAGUUAUUUUGGUUUCAUUUGCAGAAGCUGGGAAGUUGGCCCUUUUCGCUUGAGUACUGAGUUUCAGCAAAUUAAUUCAGAAGCCACCACAACCCAGAACACUUCAUCUCCUACUCUUCCCAGCCUAAUUCUCAAAUUCCUGAUUGAAUGCCGCUUUCUUGUGAAUUUCUGGCUUUGGUCUCCUGUUACACACUCAGAAUUAGCGGUGAAAACGUGGAUCCCAGUGAUUUCCAACAUACUUUUUUACACCACUGAAAUGCUAGAAGUGACUCUUGGACAAGAGGGCCAAAUCCCUGCCCUCAAUACAGCAAUAGCAUUUGGGGUGCCUCGACCAGACUCUCAUCGGCCAUUUGCCUUCAUAAAGGGUGUGUGUUUGUCAAUCUCAAAAGCUGCUGCAUCUCCUACAGCAUCAUCCAACGAUGCCAGGAAAACGGGAAAGAAGUCAAUGGAUCUCUGCCAAGAAAAACCAGAGGAGCCACCAAGUGCCGCCUGUGUCAGCUCCUGCCCCGACCCUCUGCUCCCCUGCCUGUCCCAGAUUUCUCCUGAGUGCCCAGGUCCAUCCGUGCCCUUGCUCCUUUUGAUGGCUCUGAGAGGACGAUGGUUUCAGGUGAUAGUUUCAACGAAGUGAGCACGUUUUCCAGUUUCAAUGAGAUUUAACCCGACUGCUAAAGUUCUGGUAAGUGGUUCCUCAGUUUUGGGGUAAGCGCCGUUCUCCAGUUUCACUGGUGGUGUGUAGAAGUUUAUGGGUUCAUUGUAGACCAGU